CAGUAGCCGCGGGAAUACGUAGGGUGCGAGCGUUAAUCGGAAUUACUGGGCGUAAAGCGUGCGCAGGCGGUUAUAUAAGACAGAUGUGAAAUCCCCGGGCUCAACCUGGGACCUGCAUUUGUGACUGUAUAGCUAGAGUACGGUAGAGGGGGAUGGAAUUCCGCGUGUAGCAGUGAAAUGCGUAGAUAUGCGGAGGAACACCGAUGGCGAAGGCAAUCCCCUGGACCUGUACUGACGCUCAUGCACGAAAGCGUAGGGAGCAAACAGGAUUAGAUACCCGAGUAGUCCCUGUCUCUUAUAC
rnacentral:rRNA from 1 species